UACGGGGGGGGCAAGCGUUGUUCGGAAUUACUGGGCGUAAAGGGCGCGUAGGCGGUGCUCUAAGUCGGAUGUGAAAACUCUGGGCUCAACCCAGAGCCUGCAUCCGAAACUGGAGUGCUAGAGUUCUGGAGGGGGUAGCGGAAUUCCUGGUGUAGCGGUGAAAUGCGUAGAUAUGCGGAGGAACACCGAUGGCGAAGGCAAUCCCCUGGACCUGUACUGACGCUCAUGCACGAAAGCGUGGGGAGCAAACAGG
rnacentral:rRNA from 1 species